CGUUUCUGGAACAUAAACUAACUGAAGUAGUGUGUGAAGUACACCCCUCUAGAAGGCCGGAGAUAUACUCCUCGAUGAAGUAACAAUAGAGAGUCGUUAAAAACUGCUUGAAAUCUGGAGACCAGGCCAAAUGGAUCUAAGUAAUGUUUCGUUUUUCAAGAAGAAGAGGAUGCAAUCAACAUUGACGGAUCCUCCAACCCUGACAACAAAUAAAACGACAAAGGAUACCUUUACAAGAACUGAUGAGAUUGUGGGCCUGAAAUACGGAAAGAAACGUCAAUAUGCAGAUACCCUCCUGGAUGCAGUAGGUGGUAGUAUAUCAAGGAUGCAGAUGAGUCACUUAGAAUGUAAUUUUCUUUUUCAUUGAUGUGAAUACUUUCUCUUGAUCUUAGUGAGACAUAUUUUCCCAUGUAAAUGAUUGAAAUAAAAGUACACGAA